AAACUGUUUGCCUCGUUCUGCACUUAACAGAAUUGUAUUUACUCACACCAAAAUCAAAACCAUCAACAUUUAUGGGCUUAACUUGAAAAAGUUCAGCGUUGAUCAAUUUAUUGGCCGGCACGUUUUCACGUUAACUAAUUCAAACAAUUUCGGUGGCACACGUGGCCCAUGUUACUGGGGCAGAACGAAUCCCAAUUGAGACCGAAAACUGACCGCUUCCAAACGCAACUAAAAAAGGAGCAGGCAGGACGGAACAUCAGGUGGCUAAAUGAUGAAGCUCUGGUGGUUUUAGCUCUGGCUGGGGGAUAUAGCUCUGGCUCGAGAAAGGAGCUCUGGCUGCUAGAUGAAGCUCUGACUGUGGGAUGUAGCUCUGACUGGAGGAUGUAGAUGUGGCUGUAGCCCUGGCUGAUUGAGUAUUGGUACCACACUAUGUUUUCUUUAUGGAGCCCACAUACACGUGCUUCUGGAAUACAGUAGCCGCUGGCCACAUCUCCCCUUAGUGUGCGCUGAAAAGGAAACUCACUUAAAUGCUUUAAAAUAGACCAAACUACCGGCACUAAAAAUUGCGUUCGCUAACUCUCUCUCUCUGCUGGAACUUUAGUUACGCUUUCAAACCACCACACACACAAACACACAUAAACCUUUGCCACUUCUUUGGCUCAUACUAUUUUUUUUUUGCUCCUCAUUUUCCUCGCUAUUGUCCUCUCUUUUUCCCUCUUUUCCCUCUCUUG
rnacentral:lncRNA from 1 species